rnacentral:rRNA from 1 species
CGGAGGGUGCAAGCGUUAUCCGGAUUCACUGGGUUUAAAGGGUGCGUAGGUGGGCAGGUAAGUCAGUGGUAAAAUCUCCGAGCUUAACUCGGAAACUGCCAUUGAUACUAUCUGUCUUGAAUUAUCUGGAGGUGAGCGGAAUAUGUCAUGUAGCGGUGAAAUGCUUAGAUAUGACAUAGAACACCAAUUGCGAAGGCAGCUCACUACGGAUAUAUUGACACUGAGGCACGAAAGCGUGGGGAUCAAACAGGAUUAGAUACCCUGGUAGUCCACGCCCUAAACGAUGGAUACUCGACAUCAGCGAUACACUGUUGGUGUCUGAGCGAAAGCAUUAAGUAUCCCACCUGGGAAGUACGAUCGCAAGAUUG